GAUCCUUCUGUUUCUGUUUCUGUUUCGUGGCAUCCAAUUCUUGCAAAACUCGUAUCUCUCGGGACUAGUAGAGUUUCCACUCGGCUCUGCAUUUUCCAGUUCCACCUCCAAGUCAUUAACCUGAGCAGGGAAAAUAAGACUACAAAUUAUUCACCCAGAACAAAAAAAGAGAUAAAUAUAAGGAUGUUCAUUACGGGAGCGGAUAAAUAUAGUUUGUGGACUACAAAUUAUUCUACAAACUACACACCGCAUAAUUAUGUACCUUCUUGUUAAGUUCCAGAGGAAGAACAAUUUGUGCAUCACCCUUCGACGUCGGGUUACCAACAAUCCCGGGGGGAAAUUGAAACACCAGGAACUUCAUGUAGG